rnacentral:tRNA from 1 species
GGACUGAUAGCUCAGUUGGAAGAGCACCAUUGUUUUAUGCUGGAGGCCACGGGUUCAAUCCCUGUCUAGUCCA